AUAAUAACUUCAAGAAAGAGCAUCCUGGACUUGCAUUAAAAGAUAGAAUAUGGCCUGCUGCAAGAGCUUCCUAUGAAAGCAGAUUUGCUAGUGAAAUGGAAUCACUGAAGGAGUUCGAUGUAGAAGCAAAUGGGUUUUAAUUAAAAUUUUUUAAUUGUUUAAUUUAGUUGUUAGAAAUAUAUUUUUGCGAGUGAUCUACCAAUUCUACCCCUAAAAUUUAUAACGGGGUUGUUAGAUGGUUUGAUUCACAACUGAGAGUUGAUUUCUAGGAUGUAAAAGCUUGGGUUUUUAAAUGUGAAGGACCAAUUUGUUUCAUUUUAAAUGUGAGGGACGAAA
rnacentral:lncRNA from 1 species